rnacentral:lncRNA from 1 species
GCUUUUAUUUAGUUUAGCUCUCUCUCUCUCUCUACCAUCAUAUUUUCUUUAUUUCUUUCUCUUUUAGAAUUAUGGAUAUCGCAAACAUUGAGGAGAUGCAAAUUAGCGUAUGUUGUCAUCUACAAUAAAGGAAGAAGAUAUGCAAAGGGUGCAUUUUUAGUAGCCAAUGCUUGCUGAAGAAAUUUACAUAAGGUUUGUGAAGAAAUGCUUGCUGAAGAAAUUUACGUAAGGUUUGUGAAGAAAUGCAAAGCGUUAAGAGCCAUAAAUUGGAUGGAUAUGGAUCCUAGACAGAGAGGAUACCCUUUUACACUAAAUCUGGCAAUCAAGAUGGGGAGAGUUCAAGUAAUUAAGGAUUGUGAUCGGUCUACCCACAUGUUAGGCAUUUCAAGCCUGUUUGCACCAUUUUCCCUGAAACUUAAAAGGUAAGAAUUCCAUUGAGGGAGACUGUGAAGUCGCAAGGGUAAUGCAAUUUAGUGAUGAAAUUUAAUUGUUUUAAGCAUUUAUAAAUUAUAAACAAUGUAAAGUUGAGUCCAACACACAGAAACUUCUGUGAAAAAUAAUAUGUGCCAUUCACAUCAAAUUGUGCCAAUAUUAAGGAUAUUAUGAGUGGAUUGUUCUUAGCUUUCACAGGAAUUAUUUAUUUGCUAAACAUCCUUGUCACAGUGAAUUGUUACAAUGUACUCAUAUAACUGUCCUCCAGAAUGGACUAGAUGUUUCUCCAAAACAGAGGCCACUUUCUUGUCUAUAAAUCAGCAACCUUAAAAAAUUAAAAUUAGAACUACCAUAUGAUUCACACAUCUGGGUGUAUAUAAAAGUAUUGCAAUAAGGAUCUCAAUGAAAAAUCUGCACUCCCAUAUUCACUGAAGCACUAUUUACAAGAGCCAAGAUUUGGAAACAACUUAAAUGUCUAUUGAUGGAUGGAUGAAUAAAGAAAAUGUGGUAUAUACAUGCAAUGAAAUAUUAUUCAGCCUUAUAAAAAGAAGAAAAUCUUGCCAUUUGCAACAAUGUAGAUGAACCUGGAGGAUAUUAUGCUUAGUUCAUUUAGUUACUUGAUAAGGCAAGGAAAGAAGGAAAAAUACUACAUAAUUCCAUUUAUAUGAUGUAUUUAAAAUAGUCAUAGUAACAGAGUAGAAUGUGGUUGUUAAGUGUUAGGAGGAGGGGGAAAUAAGGAGUUGCUGUUCAAUAGGUAUAAAUUUUCUGUUAUGCAGUGGGAAUGAUUUCUAGAGAUUUUCUGUACAAUGCUGUUCAAAUACACUUACAAAUUGGUUAAAAGGGUAGAUCUUACAGUAAGUUUUCUUACCACAAUAUAAAAAUGAAAAGAAGAAAUAAUACAUAUAUGUACAAAAAUAUUGUGGGAAGUUACUCGAAAAUCUAUUAAUAGUGAUCGCCCCUGCAGAGUCCGAGUGGGUGGCUAGGAGAAAUUGAAAGUGAAAUUCUAUUGUUUGAAAGUUUCUUUACUAUCAGAUUUUUCCCCUUUGCAAAUGUAUAGGCUUUAUAACUUGUCUUUCUUUUCUUUUUUUUUUUUUUUUUUUUUUUUGAGACAGAGUUUCGCUCUUGUUGUCCAGAGGCUGGAGUGCAAUGACGUGAUCUUGGCUCACUGCAACCUCCCAGGUUCAAGCGAUUCUUCUGCCUCAGCCUCCUAAGUAGCUGGGAUUACAGGCGCCUCCCACCAUGCCUAGCUAAUUUUUUGUAUUUUUAGUAGAGACAGGGUUUCACUAUGUUGGUCUCGAACUCCUGACCUCAUGUGAUCCACCUGCCUUGGACUCCCAACGUGCUGGGAUUACAGGCAUGAGCCACCGCUCCUGGCCUAAAAUUUGCCUUUUACAAAAACUCAACAAAAGAUCAUCUCAACUAAGGCAUACUAAAUAAUAUUUAAGACACAAACUUACAGGCUAAAAAAAAUAAACCUGCCAUAGUAACAAACACACACUCAGGAAUUACCUACACGAUAAACAUUUUAAAUUGCUAAACCAAAUAGAAGGAAACACAAAUAACAUUGUAAAGUUUGAUAGGUACUAGAUGGUAUUCAAAUGACCUCAAAUAUCUAAAGUAAGAUGCAAGAGUGUACCUCUUUCAGUUUCCCAAUUAGUUAUUUGUUUUAGAUUAAACAAUAGUGUAAUGCAUCAAUUCCUUGGGUAAUUUACCGAUUGGAAUUCCUAGUGUCAUCCUUGAGACACAAGCAAAAAAACUCAACAAUAUUAUCCACGUGAAAUGGGACCUCUAAACUGUCCUGUUUUGUUACAGCCUCUAAUGAGCCAAAAUAGUAUAAGAAUCUUGAAGAUUAAGAAUUUCUGUAGUGCUCUACUUGCCUGAAAUUUGGGGUGCUAAGCAUUAAAAAAAUGCAAUUUUAGUGUGUUAUACUUGCGGACAUUAAACACUAUGUGUAAAGGUUGAGAAUUUCUACCAUAAAAUACAUAGAUCCUCUGGAUGUAAAUCUUGUAUAUGACACAAACUAGAUGUUAGACCCUAAAAAAGAUGUUCAGAUUCUCCAUGUGUCAGUCUCUUCAUUUUAAAGAAUCUAAAAUACGAAGAAUAAAACAAUGUAGGGAAAGUCUUUAGAAUAAUGAAAUUUACUUGAUAAGCAUUCAAUAAAUAUUUGCUAUUAUUACUGAUGGUUAAUAUUGUCAACUUGAUUGGAUUGAAGGAUACAAAGUAUUGAUACUAGGUGUGUCUGUGAGGAUGUUGCUAAAGGAGAUUAACAUUUGAGUCAGUGAGCUGGGAAAGGCAGACCCACCCUUAAUCUGGUGGGCAUAAUCUAAUCAACUGCCAACGUGGCUACAAUAUAAGCAGGCAGAAGAAUGUGAAAAGAGAGACUAGCCUAGCUUCCCAGCCGACAUCUUUCUCCUGUGCUGGAUGCUUCCUGCCCUGGAACAUCAGACUCCAAGUUCUUCAGUUUUGGAACUCAGACUGGCUCUCCUUGCUCCUCAGCCUGCAGACGGCCUAUUGUGGGACCUUGUGAUCCUAUGAGUUAAUACUUAAUACAUUCAUUCAUAUAUAUAUAUAUAUAUAUAUAUAUAUCUGCAUUCCAUUAGUUCUGUUCCUCUAGAGAACCCUGACUAAUACAAUUACUAUUAAUGGAGACUAAGUUAUGUCAACUUAUCAACUUGAUAAAAUGUCCAACUUAAUUAUUUAGAGCAAAAAUGAGAGAAAGAGGUGAUAAAGGUAUUGUAAAUGUCAUUAAUAGAAUAAAUAUUCAGCAUGUUGUACAAAAAUUUUAAAUUUAAGUACAUGGGCUUAUUGAAAAAUAAUGUAUUUUUUCUUAUGCAUCUACUUAUAAAAAUGCUACAUGAUUUAAUAUGUGCUGACUGACAUUAAGGUAACUUUUUCUUCACUAUACAUUUGAAAAUUGUAUUGUUUCACGAAUUUCACUACAAAAUGCUCAACUUAAUGGUAACUUGACAGUAUUAUAUAAAGUCUAUGGUUAUAACUUGGAUUGUGUCUUCAAUGCUAUUUUAUGGUUUGAAAGUCCAGGAAAACAGUGUGAUUAACUUUCUGAGGCUCCAGGAGUGGCAGAAGUUUGUCAGCUUCUUUUCUUCUUAUUUUUUAGCUUUCAGGACAUCUCCAUAUGGCUAGGUUUUUCACUACCCUAGUGAAACUAGCCUCCCAGCGAUAUCAAGACAAAUUUCUCUUGAGCAAUUUCAAGAGAAUAGCACUCGUCUUUUUUCAUGUUAUAGACUACCAACUCAAGUCCACAUUUUUUAGCUGAGAGAUUUGUAUUACCCCUUAUGUUUGGCCCACGGAAUGAUCUCAACUCAAGAAAAUAUGUUUAUACCCUAUAUAUAGGCAGUGACCCUGUCUCCAAAAUAAAUCCAAAUAAAUAUAUUAGUCCUACAAUAAAUUUAAUAUAUUUUAUGUUAGAAUUAUGUGGACAGACAUACCACAGUUAUUACUAAUACUUUCUGCUUUUAUAUCUGGAAUAGCGGCCAGUUUCUAAAAUUAUCUACCAAGCAAUGUAGAAGACCCCUGAUAGAAAGCGGUGACAGUAUUUUAGUUUUGAUGCUUAGCAUAUUACAAAUGUUCAAUACAUAUAUUACGUAGAAAGGAUUAUUUAGAAGUUAUAUUACUAAAUGAUUUCCAAAGGCUAUCAUUAUUUAGAUAAUUUUACAUCAUUUUCUACUGCAUGAAAUAACUAUUUUACAAAUUUCUCAGACAGCUCUAAUAACAUAUGAUAUAGCCAAAUCCAUGGCACUUCUGCAGAAUUAUACUUCUCCACAUGUUGAUUCUUUUUUUAUUUUUUUACCAUUUAAAAAUAGAAGAUUGCCUUUGAAGUUUUCCUUAAAUGGGCUUUGAAAUUUGUGUUGGCUAAAAUUCACUAAUAAUAUUACCUUGGUAUAUGAUAAACAUAAAUUUUGCAGGUUUCAUCCACAUAACUUAUGAGUAAAUUAUUUUGUUUUUAAGAUGGGAUCUUCCUCUGUCACCCAGGCCGGAGUACAGUGGCUCAAUAAUAGAAGAUAGCUCACUGCAGGCUUGAACUCCUGGGCUCAGCAAUCCUGCUGCCUCGGUUCCUGAGUAGCUGGGACUAUAGGCAUGUGCCACCAUGCCUAGCUAAUUUUUUAAUUUUUAUUUUUAUUGUAGAAAUUGGGUUUUGAUAUGUUGCAAAGGCUGAUUUUGAACUCAUGGCUUCAAGUGAUCCUCUUGCCUCAGCCUCCCAAAGUUCUAGGAUUAUAGGCAUUAGCUGCUGCAUCUAGCUUGAAUUGAAAUUUUUAAGAGAAGGGCCUAUAGAUCUGAUGCUUAAGAAGUAAAUUUAGGUUAUUUUUAUAAUUAUACCAUUAUUUAAGUGUAUUAAAUGCUAAUUAAAUUUGUUUUGCUUGUAUUUGUUCAUAUUGAAAAACUUGGCUAAAGUUUAUUGCAGAAAGAUAGCCUUGUAUUACCUUGAUAAUAUACUCAGAUUUUAUGUGUUUCAUAUACGAUUUUCUUCUAUAUGGUUUGUUUCUGUGAUGUAAGUUAUUAUAAUGGGUAAACACUUUACUUUUCAUUCUUGUUAUUAGUUCUUUCAUAAAAUGUCUACGUAUAUACAUUAGAGAAUAUCAAAAAUAGCUUUCAGUUUGGCACUUAAAUUUAUAUGUUUCUAUUGCAAAUCUUUCCCAAUUCUGUUACUAAAAUAUAACCAAAUGUUAAGAAUUCAAGUAUUUUAGAAUUACUUUUCUUUGUAAGUAAAUUACAUAUCCAUGUGUUAUAGGUUGAAUUGUGUCCACCCAAAAAAGAUAUGUUGAAGUUCUAAUGCCAGUACCUCAGAAUGUGACUAUGUAAAAACAGUGUCUUUACAUAGGAAAUCAAAUUAUUUAAAAAAAUGAUGUCAUUUGAUGCUUUCUGACUAAGAAGGCCUUAGCAGUUCUCAGUUUGGGUAAACUUUAGACAAGUUUCUUCCUGACUCUAGGCCCCUGGAAUCCCUUUCUUAGAUUUACUUAGAAAACUUGUUAUUGUAAUUUUUUUCGCCUGUCCUUUGGGAUGUAAAUCUUCUCCCAGCUUCUUGCCAGUUUUCUACCCCAGGAAUGUCUUUCUCAAGGACCCAGGAACCAUCUCUUUAAAAUAUAAUUAUCAAAAAGGAUAACGCCCCUAUUUCCCAGUCUCUGUGGAAGUGAGGGGCCCAACUUCAAUAAACACCAAUUAGCAAAUACAGAUGGUCUAAUUACUAUAACUAACCUUCCCUGUAAUGUCUUACAGUACUUUUCCACUAGCUCACCCCAGGGCCUGAAAACUCUUGCCAUUUAUUUCUGCAUGAUUGAGUCCAAUUUGUCCCCUAUUACCACAGUCUUGACCUCUUUUGCAAUAGCCUUUGAAAAAACUCUACCUUAACCUCACCUGUUUAAUUUGCUAGGUGCAAUUUCUAUUUGACAACUUCAAUCUAAUAUGACCGCUGUUCCUUAUAAGGGGAAAAUCUGGACAUAGAGACAGACAUGCAUGUAGGGAAAAUGCCAUGUUAAGAUGAAGGCAGAGGCCAGGCACAGUGGCUCACACUUGUAAUCCCAGCGCUUUGGGAGGCCGAGGCAGGCAGAUUAUGAGGUCCGGAGUUUGGGACUAGCCUGGCCAACAUGGCGAAAACCAAUCUCUACUAAAAAUACAAAAAAUUAGUCUGGUGUAGUGGCACGCGCCUAUAAUCCCAGCUACUCAGGAGGCUGAGGCAGGAUAAUCACUUGAACCCAGGAGGCAGAGGUUGUAGUGAGCCGAGGCUGCGCCACCGUACUCCAACCUGGGUGACAGAGCAAGACUCCGUCUAAAAAACAAACAAACAAACAAACAAAAAAGAUGAAAGUAGAGAUAAAAAGGAGGCAGCAGAAGCCAAUGAACAUGAAAGAUUCCCAGCAAACCACCAGAGGUACAAAAGAGGCAUGAAAUAGAUCUUCCUCACGACCUUCAGAAGAAACUAACCCUGCAAACAUCUUGACCUUGGACUUCUAUUCCCAAGAAUUGUGAAAAACACAUCUAUGGUACUUUGCUAUGGCAGCUUUAGGAAAGUAAUGGGCCAUAUUACAGUGACAACAUUCCUGAAUUGUAAUUGAGAAAGCUAGGCUUGAAGAUCAACUCUCUUGCUUCCUAGGUUUGGGCCAGAGGAAGUUGGUAAGUCUUCAUACCCUCAUCAGAGUUAACAUGGGAGACAAUUUGGAUUAUAAUAAGGCUAAACAAAUGUUUUGUUAUUUUAUUUUAACUCUUAAUCAAGAGCUAAUAUAAUUUGGUAUGGUUAAAACAGAAAUUGGAAAAAUCAGUCUUUAAAAAGUACAACCAGAACGAAGCACUCAGCAGCAGGAUCACCUAACAUGCAGCGGAAACCUGGAAUUUCAAAGCCAUGCUCUUCAGAGUUAACUACUUUAUUAGGAUUUUCUGUGGAUACCCGAUUCUGUUAAGCUUUACCCAAUGUACAGAAGCUGUCUGUUUCCCCACAGCAUCCACCUCCCGUCUAGAUUUUUCACUCCUAUGAAACACCAUCUUAACCUCAGCAUACGUUUGAAUAUAUUUUCUGUUUCCAUCAAAAACACCUUACACAGGAUACAAUGUCAAAAUUUCCCAAGUAUUAAUAGAAACACACUCUUCUUUUUUAUUUUUAAGACAGCAUAAGCAGAGUGACCUAGAAAAUUUUCCCUUUCUACUGCAAGGGUUAGCUCUUCAUCACCAGCAUGAGCUUUUUAAUACUACUUUAUAUAACGUGGAUGCUCAGAGAGAAAAUAUAUAAAAAAUAGUCUAAUACUUUUCAGAACACUAUAACCUUUUAAUAAAAGGAAGGUUUUUUGUAACAACAAGCCAACAAUUUUAUGAUACUGUUGUGUUUUUCUGCCCCUUACAAAGAGCUAGGGGAAAUUAAACAAGGAUCCAUUUAAUUUUGGAGUGAAUGCCAAUUUGACCAGGUUCCAUGCAAGGCAGUGAGCCAUAAUUGAAGUCAGUUACACUAAUCAUCAAACACGAAACAAACAGUAAUAAAAGCAACUGCCAACCAAAUACAAGUAAACUUUAGAGAAGAAAAAAUAGUUACCUUUUAAGAAUGACCAGUUCAGAAACAAUGGUUAAAGGCAGUAAGAUAAAUGGUGAACUGCUUGCUGUUACUUUUUCUGCUUAUAUUUACCCCAGGGAAAACCUGUUUUAAAAG